CCCUGAGACACCAGAGAACCAAAUGAAAAGGUCAGUGACACCCAUGUGCAUCUAUUAAAAUGGAAUUUAUAAACCGCAACAGAAAAUACCUUAUGCAAGGACAUCUAAGGACUUUGUGAUAGGCCCUCCUCAGGCCCUAGGCUCAUUUCAUUCAGAGGGAAGGAAAUGAACAUUUAUUAAGCACAUCUCAGGUCUCAUUUAAGGCCCACAACCAGCUAUGAGUUAAAUGGUCCGUCGCUUUUUUUUCGCAGGUGAGGAAAUAGAGGGUCUGAGCAGCUAAGCAACCAGUCCCAGAUGACUGAGGCAGUCAGUGGAAUCCAACCCUGAAAUCAAGGCCUGUGCCCCGCACGUGUGAGCUCUUCCCCAUGAUGGCAGCUGCCUCCCAAGAAACCCUGGCCAAGAGUCUGAGUGACCAAGCAAGCUAUAUCCUUUCUGGGCUGGAAUCUGACAGCAUGUAUCAAAACCUGCUGCUCUAGUAAUUUCACUUCUGGGGAAUUUGUCCUAAGGAGAUAACCCUGCAUUCUUCUAACAGUGUCCUGGAAACAUCCUAAAGGCCCACCAGUAGGAGACAUAGGCAGGAGGCCAGACACAGCAGCAGGUCACAGUCAUAGGAGGGAUGUUAUCCAGUCACUAGAAAUCAUGAUUUAUUCAUGAAAUAUGAAAAUAUUCAGUGACGUGGGACGAUACCACCACACAUUGCAAUGGGGGCAAAAUCAGCUCUGACAGACUCCUAAGAGUAUCCAAUAGCAAAGUCAGGGAAUCAACCUGAGUGUCCAUCAACAAAUGACUGAAUAAAGAAAAGUGGUGCAUGUACACCAUGGAAUACUACACAGUCCCGUAAAAAAGGAAGGAAAUCAUGUCCUUUCCAGCAACACAGAUGGAGCUGGGGGCAUGUACACCAUGGAAUACUACACAGCCGUAAAAAAGGAAGGAAAUCAUGUCCUUUCCAGCAACACAGAUGGAGCUGGGGGCAUGUACACCAUGGAAUACUACACAGCUGUAAAAAAGGAAUGAAAUCAUGUCCUUUCCAGCAACACAGAUGGAGCUGGGGGCAUGAUCCUAAGUGAAAUAACUCAGAAUAAGAAAAUCAAAUACCAGGCCAGAUGCAGUGGCUCAUGCCUGUAAUCCCAGCACUUUGGGAGGCUGAGGUGGGCGGAUCACUUGAGGUCAGGAGUUCAAGACCAGCCUGGCCAACACCAUCUCUACUAAAAAUACAAAAAUUAGCUUGGUGGGGUGGCACAUGCCUGUAAUCCCAGCUACUAGGGAGGCUGAGGCAAGAGAAUUGCUUGAACCCUGGAGGCAGAGGUUGCAAUGAGCCAAGAUUGCACCACUGCACUCCAGUCUGGGUGACAGAGUGAGACUCUGUCUCAAAAAAAAAAAAA
rnacentral:lncRNA from 1 species